rnacentral:rRNA from 1 species
UACGUAGGGACCGAGCGUUGUCCGGAAUCAUUGGGCGUAAAGAGCGCGUAGGCGGCCUGCUAAGUCGGAUGUGAAAUCCCUCGGCUCAACCGAGGAACUGCAUCCGAUACUGGCGGGCUUGAAUCCGGGAGAGGGAUGUGGAAUUCCAGGUGUAGCGGUGAAAUGCGUAGAUAUCUGGAGGAACACCGGUGGCGAAGGCGGCAUCCUGGACCGGUAUUGACGCUGAGGCGCGAAAGCUAGGGGAGCAAACGGG